rnacentral:rRNA from 1 species
GAUGAACGCUGGCGGCGUGCUUAACACAUGCAAGUCGAACGAGAAGUGAAGACGGAAACCUUCGGGCGGAAGGCUUUAUUUCGAGUGGCGGACGGGUGAGUAACGCGUGGGUAACCUGCCUCAUACAGGGGGAUAACAGUUGGAAACGACUGUUAAUACCGCAUAAGACCACAGCACCGCAUGGUGCGGGGGUAAAAACUCCGGUGGUAUGAGAUGGACCCGCGUUCGAUUAGCCAGUUGGCGGGGUAACGGCCCACCAAAGCGACGAUCGAUAGCCGAGCUGAGAGGAUGACCGGCCACAUUGGGACUGAGACACGGCCCAAACUCCUACGGGAGGCAGCAGUGGGGAAUAUUGCACAAUGGGGGAAACCCUGAUGCAGCGACGCCGCGUGAGUGAAGAAGUAUUUCGGUAUGUAAAGCUCGAUCAGCAGGGAAGAAAAUGACGGUACCUGAGGAAGAAGCCCCGGCUAACUACGUG